rnacentral:rRNA from 1 species
UACGUAGGGGGCAAGCGUUGUCCGGAUUUAUUGGGCGUAAAGAGCGUGUAGGCGGCUAUACAGGUCCGCUGUGAAAACUCGAGGCUCAACCUCGAGACGUCGGUGGAAACCGUAUGGCUAGAGUCCGGAAGAGGAGAGUGGAAUUCCUGGUGUAGCGGUGAAAUGCGCAGAUAUCAGGAAGAACACCGGUGGCGAAGGCGGCAUCCUGGACCGGUAUUGACGCUGAGGCGCGAAAGCUAGGGGAGCAAACAGG